rnacentral:rRNA from 1 species
AUGGAAGGAAAAGACACCUUGCGAUUGGGACUAGUAAAACGAAUUGGAUCCGGUGAACAGACUAACAUCUGGAGCGAUAACUGGAUACCACGAGAUUUCAAACUCCGACCGGUAUGCCCCAAAACUCCAAACCCCCCUCGAAUGGUGUCCGAACUGAUCAACCCGAUCACAUCAUCUUGGGAUAUGGACAAGCUUGAGACUCAUUUUUAUAUGAUGGACAAGGAAGCCAUCUGUGAUAUCCCGCUAAGUUGUCGUGUUCGCGAAGAUUUCUGGGCGUGGCAUUAUGAACGGAAGGGAACAUUCACUGUCAGGUCUGCAUACAAGCUGCUGUCCGCAACAAAACAGCAACGCACGGACUGGCUGGAAAACAAUGAGGGUCACUCGCGUGUGGAUUCAGACCACAGGUCUUGGUCUACGCUUUGGGGCGCUGCAGUUCCCUCAAAAGUACGUGUGUUUGCUUGGCGUUUGGCGAAGAGCUCCAUCCCUACAGGAGAGGUACGGAAGCACCGAAGCAUGACUGACUCGGCGGAAUGCUCUAUCUGUCACGCAACAGUUGACACCUGGCGCCAUUCUCUCUUCGACUGCCACAUGGCCCGGUGUGUCUGGGCACUCACCGAAGAA